AGUUGCCAAAAGGGAGAGUCAGAGCAAAGCACAGCCCGCCUUGGAAGCAUCCACUCUAAAGAAGGUUCUUCUUCCCCUAGAAGGAAGGUCCCGCAUCAGAGGAAGGCAAGGGGUGAGAGAGAAAAGGAUUGGAAGGGUGUUUUCCCAGGAGAGAAAAGCAAGGCAUCCAAAUAGCUGAAAGCGAAAAAACAAAAGGUAAAGGAGAAACGUGGAGAACAGAGAGAAGAAGAGAAAGCCUGUGCAGCACUGAAAAGGGGUAAAAAGAAAAUUCCUGCACUAUGAGCAACUAUGAAAAGGUUAAUGGCAACACGCAAACACCUCCAAAUCCACCUCCCUACUCUGCGCAGCAAGCCCAAGAUGCACAGGAUCCCCUGAAAUAUCCCAUGGGUCCAGCACCACCCACAGAUUAUGGAGCAGCUCCCCCGAUGCCAACACAGUACCAAGGAUACUAUAUGCCACCUGGCUCAGUACCCAUGCAAGGACCAAUCCUUCAACAACCACAAGCUGUCUAUAUCACGCCUGUCCAGCCUGUCAAUGAACCAGAUUACCUGGCCUAUUCCAUCUUCACCUUGCUUUGCUGUUGCCUACCUUUGGGGAUUGCUGCCUUGGUAUACUCUAUACAGACAAGAGAAGCCAACCAAGCUGGAAACCUCACAGCUGCUAAGAAAUACUCCAGACUGGCACGCAUCUUGGCCCAGGCAGCCNUCGGGGUGGGAAUUGGGUUCAUAAUCCUUUACAUCGUCAUAGUUGUAAUUCUUACUACUACUACAGCAACAAUCUAUUCUUCCUCCAUCAAGCCCUAAGAAAGCUCCUCCCACUGCCGUCACUGGACAAGUGAAAGAAGGCCAGGUUGGAGCUCGUGUGCUUUGAGUCAUUAUAGAAGGGCACCUGCUACAAACCUGUUCCCACAAGUGCACCCAUUACCUGACUUCUACACAAUUGAAAAUCAGCAUCAGAAAGUGUGAAGGCUGCAUUUGAAGACACACUGGGUCAUCCAGCAAUUGCUAGAUUUGCGAUGUGGCAUCUACGUCAAGUGAUACAUACUUGGAAUAAAGACAUGUUAACUGAUCUUGGCUAACCA
rnacentral:lncRNA from 1 species